GGAUGGCUAAUAUCCAUUCGCGUUGACGGUACGCUGAAGGAAGCACCGGCUAACUCCGUGCCAGCAGGCCGCGGUAAUACGGGGGGUGCAAGCGUUACUCGGAAUCAUUGGGCGUAAAGGGCGCGUAGGCGGCCUGGUAGGUCAGGUGUGAAAUCCCGGGGCUCAACCCCGGAAGUAGCAUUUGAAACCGCCUGGCUUGAGUAUGGGAGAGGGAAGUGGAAUUCCUGGUGUAGAGGUGAAAUUCGUAGAUAUCAGGAGGAACACCGGUGGCGAAGGCGACUUCCUGGACCAAUACUGACGCUGAUGCGCGAAGGCGUGGGGAGCAAACAGGAUUAGAUACCCUGGUAGUCCACGCAGUAAACGUUGUUCACUAGGUGUAGCGGGUAUUGACCCCUGCUGUGCCGAAGCUAACGCAUUAAGUGUACCGCCUGGGAAGUACGGCCGCAAGGCUA
rnacentral:rRNA from 1 species